GAUUAACGCUAGCGGCGGGCAUAAUACAUGCAAGUUGAACGGCAGCACAGGUAGCAAUACUGGGUGGCGAGUGGCGCACGGGUGCGUAACACGUAUGCAACCUACCCUAUACAGGCGAAUAACCUUUAGAAAUGAGGGCUAAUACGCCGUAGUAUUACAGAUGGGCAUCUAUUUGUAAUUAAAGAUUUAUCGGUAUAGGAUGGGCAUGCGUCCCAUUAGUUAGUUGGUAAGGUAACGGCUUACCAAGACGAUGAUGGGUAGGGGAUCUGAGAGGACUUACCCCCACACUGGUACUGAGACACGGACCAGACUCCUACGGGAGGCAGCAGUAAGGAAUAUUGGGCAAUGGCCGCGAGGCUGACCCAGCCAUGCCGCGUGCAGGAAGACGGCCUUAUGGGUUGUAAACUGCUUUUAUACGGGAAUAAUAGAGUGUACGCGUACAUUUAUGCAAGUAUCGUAUGAAUAAGCAUCGGCUAACUCCGUG
rnacentral:rRNA from 1 species